rnacentral:lncRNA from 1 species
CAGGGACUGGGUUUGAGACUCCACCCUCCCUCCCUCGGCAACUAUCCCCAACUUCAGUAGCUGAGAGGAUAUGUUUGGCUCUGAGAUAAGAACUGUUUCUUCCUUCAAAGAGUAAACCCUAUCAGGAACAUAAACCAAAACAAAAACAUGCAAGCCAAGGAGUUGUCAUGGAGGAGAGACAGCUGUAUGUACUUUUCUGACAUGGACUGAGGCUAAAGCAGUGGACAAGUGAGAGGAGCACAGAGAACCUGCAAUGUGGAGAAAUACAACCUUAAAGGACGACAGCCAGGAUGAAGCAUGUCCAUCAGCGUGGACUCAGCACACUGUCAACAAGUAAUACAUUUUCCUCUCUGUGACGCUUUCCCUUGGGCCCUGUACGGGGUCCUCCACACGGAGUUCCAGACCUCUGCCGUGUGGAUUCUGGAGCUGCAAGGCCUACGGCGUGCCCUGAGAAAGACGGUCUUAGUGGAUCCUUAUCUCCUGAGCCUCACCCUGCUGUCCUUUUGAAAGAGGGACUUAUCACCCCUUUCCUUCUUGCACCAACAAAAUGGACACAUCAAAGAAGAGAAGCAAUCUAAAGAGAUUGUUAAAGAAGACCAAGAAUGCUUCCCAAGACAUGGAAUCCAAGGAAUGUGCCAAAAGGAGAUCAUGCUUUCAACCCUCUAUCCUCCAAAACUAUGGCUGAGUAACGGGUCCUUGCCCUUUAUCCUUACCCAUCACUGGGAAUGGGAAAGGCAGAAGGAAUACUUGUCUCCUAACAAUGGUGGGAGUGUCACAAACAUAGAUAACCUCCAAUUUUAAAAAACAGGUCUAUUCCUCACUGAUAUGACUUAAACAAACUGAGGAGACUCACAGAGCUAGAGUCUGGAAGAUAGGUUAUCAGAAAACAGAAAGAGAGUAGAGGGUGGUAAGCUGAUGCUCAAUAUGGGCAAAAUCUACAAUAAGAUGGAAGAGGGUUUGGCCAAUGGGUAGGGGUGAUAAUAGUGCACUGAUGUGAUUGGCUUCAAUGGUGCUGAAAUGUGAGGGAGAAAAAGGUGGGAGGGUUAGGUUGGACUAUCCAUGGAAAUGGGGAGAGGACUGGAGGAAGGA